rnacentral:rRNA from 1 species
GACGAACGCUGGCGGCGUGCUUAACACAUGCAAGUCGAACGGAAAGGCCCGGCGUUUGUUGUGUUCUCGUUUGGCGAACGGGGGAGUAACACGUGAGUAACCUGCCCUUGACUUUGGGAUAACUUCAGGGAACUGGGGCGAAUACCGGGGAGGAGAUCCUGCAGCAUGGUGGUGGUUGGAGAGUGUCGGCGGUUGGGGAUGGACUCGCGGCUUAUCAGCUUGUUGGUGUGGUAGUGGAUUACCAGGGCUUUGACGGGUAGCCGGCCUGAGAGGGUGAACAGGGACCUGGGUACUGAGAGAGGGAGCAGUCGCGUAUGGGAGGCAGCAGUCGAGAAUAUUGCACAAUGAGCGGACGCCUGAUGCGGAAGUGCCGGGUGCGGGAUGCUGGCCUUCGGGUUGUAAACAGAUGUGGCAUGUGACGAAGAGUGAGUGACGGUACUGGGUAAAGAAGCAACGGCUAACUACGUG